UACAGAGGUCCCAAGCGUUGUUCGGAUUCAUUGGGCGUAAAGGGUGCGUAGGUGGCGCCGUAAGUCGGGUGUGAAAUUUCGGAGCUUAACUCCGAAACUGCAUUCGAUACUGCGGUGCUUGAGGACUGGAGAGGAGACUGGAAUUCAUGGUGUAGCAGUGAAAUGCGUAGAUAUCGAGAGGAACACCUGCGGCGAAGGCGGGUUGCUGGGCUGAUACUGACGCUGAGGCGCGAAAGCCAGGGGAGCGAACGGG
rnacentral:rRNA from 1 species